rnacentral:rRNA from 1 species
UACGAAGGGUGCUAGCGUUGUUCGGAAUUACUGGGCGUAAAGCGCGCGUAGGCGGCGAUACAAGUCAGAGGUGAAAGCCUGGAGCUUAACUCCAGAAUUGCCUUUGAAACUGUAUUGCUCGAGUGUCGGAGGGGAUAGCGGAAUUGCUAAUGUAGAGGUGAAAUUCGUAGAUAUUAGCAGGAACACCGGUGGCGAAGGCGGCUAUCUGGACGACAACUGACGCUGAGGCGCGAAAGCGUGGGGAUCAAACAGG